rnacentral:rRNA from 1 species
GUCCACGCUGUAAACGAUGGAUGCUAGACGUUGGGGGCUUGCCCUUCGGUGUCGUAGCUAACGCGAUAAGCAUCCCGCCUGGGGAGUACGGCCGCAAGGUUAAAACUCAAAGGAAUUGACGGGGCCCGCACAAGCGGUGGAGCAUGUGGUUUAAUUCGACGCAACGCGCAGAACCUUACCAGCCCCUUGACAUGGGUAGUAUGGGCCGGGGAGACCUGGUUCUUCAGUUCGGCUGGCUACCACACAGGUGCUGCAUGGCUGUCGU